rnacentral:rRNA from 1 species
UACGUAGGGUGCGAGCGUUGUCCGGAAUUAUUGGGCGUAAAGAGCUUGUAGGCGGUUUGGCGCGUCUGCUGUGAAAAUCCGGGGCUCAACCCCGGACUUGCAGUGGGUACGGGCAGGCUAGAGUGUGGUAGGGGAGACUGGAAUUCCUGGUGUAGCGGUGAAAUGCGCAGAUAUCAGGAGGAACACCGAUGGCGAAGGCAGGUCUCUGGGCCACUACUGACGCUGAGAAGCGAGAGCAUGGGGAGCGAACAGG